UGUGGCCUGAAGGAGUACUGCAGAGGACACAACAUAACACAAAUGAGUUUCACAAAUCUGUGGUGUUCUGUUUCCAGUGCUAUGUCCACCCAUGUUAUGCAUUUGUGCCUUCUCCUGCUCUGCACUUUUAAAGCCCACUGUACGGCCAUCAUACACUAUGGUUUGGCUGUGCUGCAGAAUUUGUCCGUGCAAGACGCUGAGCAAGUUUUCCUCAAUGAUCUGGAUUACCAUCGCAGGUGUCAGUGAAGCCUACAUGCAAUGUGGGAGCUGAUGGGCAAAAGACCUGAAACUGGCACCCUGCAGUACUGAAGGAUCAUACAACUGGGAUAUACACAGCUCUUCACUGCAUACAUUACUUUAUGGACUUUCUCUCUGUUUAUGGCUGAUGUUAGGAAGAAUGUUACCGAGUCACCAUUUACUUACAUACAAAAACGCUAGUCAAAAAGCAAACA